UACGAAGGGGGCUAGCGUUGCUCGGAAUCACUGGGCGUAAAGCGUGCGCAGGCGGUUUUGUAAGACCGAUGUGAAAUCCCCGGGCUCAACCUGGGAACUGCAUUGGUGACUGCAAGGCUUGAGUGUGUCAGAGGGAGGUGGAAUUCCGCGUGUAGCAGUGAAAUGCGUAGAUAUGCGGAGGAACACCGAUGGCGAAGGCAGCCUCCUGGGAUAACACUGACGCUCAUGCACGAAAGCGUGGGGAGCAAACAGG
rnacentral:rRNA from 1 species